rnacentral:tRNA from 2 species
GAGGAUGUGGCUCAGCGGUAGAAGCGGCAGAUUGCAAUUGCGCAACCAUCUGUAGGUCCCCGGUUCGAUCCCGGGCAUUCUCU